AUUGAACGCUGGCGGCAUGCUUUACACAUGCAAGUCGAACGGUAACAGGCCGCAAGGUGCUGACGAGUGGCGAACGGGUGAGUAAUGCAUCGGAACGUGCCCAGUCGUGGGGGAUAACGCAGCGAAAGCUGUGCUAAUACCGCAUACGAUCUGUGGAUGAAAGCGGGGGACCUUCGGGCCUCGCGCGAUUGGAGCGGCCGAGAUCAGAUUAGGUAGUUGGUGGGGGAAAGGCUCACCAAGCCGACGAUCUGUAGCUGGUCUGAGAGGGCGACCAGCCACACGGGGACUGAGACACGGCCCAGAGUCCUACGGGAGGCAGCAGUGGGGAAUUUUGGACAAUGGGCGCAAGCCUGAUCCAGCAAUGCCGCGUGCAGGAAGAAGGCCUUCGGGUUGUAAACUGCUUUUGUACGGAGCGAAAAGGCUCCCUCUAAUACAGGGGGCUCAUGACGGUACCGUAAGAAUAAGCACCGGCUAACUACGUGCCAGCCGCCGCCGUAACAC
rnacentral:rRNA from 1 species